UAAGGAAUAUUGGUCAAUGGACGCAAGUCUGAACCAGCCAUGCCGCGUGGAGGAUGAAGGUCCUCUGGAUUGUAAACUUCUUUUAUCUGGGACGAAACACUUCUUUUCUAAGAGGCCUGACGGUACCAGAUGAAUAAGCACCGGCUAACUCCGUGCCAGCAGCAGCGGUAAUACGGAGGGUGCAAGCGUUAUCCGGAUUCACUGGGUUUAAAGGGUGCGUAGGUGGGUAUGUAAGUCAGUGGUGAAAUCCCCGAGCUUAACUUGGGAACUGCCAUUGAUACUAUAUAUCUUGAAUACCGUAGAGGUAAGCGGAAUAUGUCAUGUAGCGGUGAAAUGCUUAGAUAUGACAUGGAACACCAAUUGCGAAGGCAGCUUACUAUGCGGUGAUUGACACUUAGGCACGAAAGCGUGGGUAGCAAACA
rnacentral:rRNA from 1 species